AUUCUGCCCAUGCGGGGAAGGAUGAGAAGCUUCGACCAAGGUUCGACUCGAGCGCCAGCGAGAGAGCGUGGCCGCAGGCAACGACCCGAAGGGCGAAGCGCGCAGCGCUGAGUAAUCCUUCUCCC
rnacentral:sRNA from 1 species